CUCAGACACGAUGCCAACUGUCUUUGAGAGGGGCAUAGCUCGAAGGGGAUGGAUCCUCGGUAGCAGCAGGUCCAGCAGCAGUGUGAGCCUGCAGAUGGAGCCCCGGUAGCAGCAGAUCCAGCAGCAGCAAGAGCCCGGAGAUGGAGCCCCAGCAACAGCAGGUGGGACAGCAGCGGGAGCCCGGAGAUGGAGCCCUGGCAGCAGCAGGAGCGGGGACUGGCAAGGACGACAGUGGGAUGUCGAGGGGGCGGUGCGAGGACGGCGGUUCGAUGUUGAAUCGAGAGGGCGACGGCUCGAUCUCGGGAUAUGGAGCUUGGGGGGAGGGGCGGACUGCAAGGACGGGUGGAUGACGAGGUGGAGCUUAGGGGCGAGGUAGUGCAAGCUCCGAGACAACGACUUGAAAACGGGGUAGAGCGCGAGGCCGGCGGCAGGACUGUGGAUCGAGCACGAGGGCAGCGGCGGCAGGCACGGGUUAGGGCUGUGGAGUUGGGUUCGAGAUGGAGGUAAU
rnacentral:rRNA from 1 species